rnacentral:lncRNA from 1 species
AAGGCUAUCUGUCGGAUCUUUGAGGAGGUGGCCACACAUAGGCUUUGGGAUAAGCUAUACAAUCUUAGGCAGUCUGCUAUACAGCACUCGAGUUUUCGAGUCACCAUCAGAUUGGAAGUCUUAUAUAGAUCAUUGGAUGCAGACUGAAAUAUAUGGGAGGCCUCCUAUGAUCGAUAGAGCACUGAGGAGUACUCUGGUAGGCGGUAGAGGGCACGAUAGAACCAAACCGUCCAGC